GAUGAACGCUGGCGGCGUGCCUAAUACAUGCAAGUCGAGCGAACAGACGAGGAGCUUGCUCCUCUGACGUUAGCGGCGGACGGGUGAGUAACACGUGGAUAACCUACCUAUAAGACUGGGAUAACUUCGGGAAACCGGAGCUACUACCGGAUAAUAUAUUGAUCCGCAUGGUUCAAUAGUGAAAGACGGUUUUGCUGUUACUUAUAGAUGGAUCCGCGCCGCAUUAGCUAGUUGGUAAGGUAAAGGCUUACCAAGGCAACGAUGCGUAGCCGACCUGAGAGGGUGAUCGGCCACACUGGAACUGAGACACGGUCCAGACUCCUACGGGAGGCAGCAGUAGGGAAUCUUCCGCAAUGGGCGAAAGCCUGACGGAGCAACGCCGCGUGAGUGAUGAAGGUCUUCGGAUCGUAAAACUCUGUUAUUAGGGAAGAACAAAUGUGUAAGUAACUAUGCACGUCUUGACGGUACCUAAACAGAAAGCCACGGCUAACUACGUG
rnacentral:rRNA from 1 species